CUUUACUGCAGCUUUGCAGUGGCAUUAGGAGAGGGCUGUGUAGGAUAGGUGGGAGGCUUUGAAGCCGGGGCGCUAGCUUUGGUGGAGCCAACCUUGAAAUACCACCCUGACCUCUUCUGAUGUCUAACCGCGACCGGUCAGCCCGGUCCGGGACCCUGCAUGGUGGGCAGUUUGACUGGGGCGGUCGCCUCCCAAAUAGUAACGGAGGCGCGCGAUGGUGGGCUCAGGCCGGUCGGACAUCGGCUGCUGAGUGCAAUGGCACAAGCCCGCCUGACUGCGAGAGUGACAGCUCGAGCAGAGACGAAAGUCGGCCAUAGUGAUCCGGUGGUCCCGCGUGGAAGGGCCAUCGCUCAACGGAUAAAAGGUA
rnacentral:rRNA from 1 species